UACGAAGGGGGCUAGCGUUGCUCGGAAUCACUGGGCGUAAAGCGCACGUAGGCGGACUCUUAAGUCGGUGGUGAAAUCUCGGAGCUUAACUCCGAAACUGCAUUCGAUACUGCCGUGCUUGAGGACUGGAGAGGAGACUGGAAUUUACGGUGUAGCGGUGAAAUGCGUAGAUAUCGUAAGGAAGACCAGUGGCGAAGGCGGGUCUCUGGACAGUUCCUGACGCUGAGGCACGAAGGUCAGGGGAGCAAACGGG
rnacentral:rRNA from 1 species